AUACAUCUAGAUCCAUACCCCUAAACUCCCUAGAUGUUAUUGGAUAGCGAUCGCUCGCUGUCCUUUUUUU
rnacentral:sRNA from 1 species